AUCCUCAGGUCAGACAGACCCAGUGUUGCCUA
rnacentral:piRNA from 1 species